rnacentral:rRNA from 1 species
GUGAGGAAUCUUCCACAAUGGGCGAAAGCCUGAUGGAGCAACGCCGCGUGAAGGAUGAAGGUCUUCGGAUUGUAAACUUCUUUUAUGAGUGAAGAAUAUGACGGUAACUCAUGAAUAAGCACCGGCUAACUACGUGCCAGCAGCCGCGGUCAUACGUAGGGUGCAAGCAUUAUCCGGAGUGACUGGGCGUAAAGAGUUGCGUAGGCGGUUAUGUAAGCGAAUAGUGAAACCUGGUGGCUCAACCACACAGACUAUUAUUCGAACUGCAUAACUCGAGAAUGGUAGAGGUAGUUGGAAUUUCUUGUGUAGGAGUGAAAUACGUAGAUAUAAGAAGGAACACCAAUGGCGUAGGCAGACUACUGGACCAUUUCUGACGCUGAGGCACGAAAGCGUGGGGAGCGAACCGGAUUAGAAACCCGGGUAGUCC